rnacentral:rRNA from 1 species
UAAGAAAGCCGUGGGCGGGCAGGCCUAACACAUGCAAGUCGAGCGCGCCCUUCGGGGUGAGCGGCGGACGGGUUAGAAACGCGUGGGAAUAUACCCGACACUAAGGAAUAGCCUCUGGAAACGGAGAGUAAUACCUUAUACGCCCUUCGGGGGAAAGAUUUAUCGGUGACGGAUUAGCCCGCGUUAGAUUAGAUAGUUGGUGGGGUAAUGGCCUACCAAGUCUACGAUCUAUAGCUGGUUUUAGAGGAUGAUCAGCAACACUGGGACUGAGACACGGCCCAGACUCCUACGGGAGGCAGCAGUGGGGAAUCUUGGACAAUGGGCGCAAGCCUGAUCCAGCCAUGCCGCGUGAGUGAUGAAGGCCUUAGGGUCGUAAAGCUCUUUCGCCAGAGAUGAUAAUGACAGUAUCUGGUAAAGAAACCCCGGCUAACUCCGUGCCAGCAGCCGCGGUAAUACGGAGGGGGUUAGCGUUGUUCGGAAUUACUGGGCGUAAAGCGCGCGUAGGCGGAUUAGUAAGUUAGAGGUGAAAUCCCGGGGCUCAACCCCGGAACUGCCUUUAAUACUGCUAGUCUUGAGUUCGAGAGAGGUGAGUGGAAUUCCGAGUGUAGAGGUGAAAUUCGUAGAUAUUCGGAGGAACACCAGUGGCGAAGGCGGCUCACUGGCUCGAUACUGACGCUGAGGUGCGAAAGUGUGGGGAGCAAACAGGAUUAGAUACCCUGGUAGUCCACACCGUAAACGAUGAAUGCCAGUCGUCGGGUAGCAUGCUAUUCGGUGACACACCUAACGGAUUAAGCAUUCCGCCUGGGGAGUACGGUCGCAAGAUUAAAACUCAAAUGAAUUGACGGAAGGGC